AGGAUGAACGCUGGCGGCGUGCUUAACACAUGCAAGUCGAACGGUGAAGUGAGGAGCUUGCUCCUUGCGGAUCAGUGGCGAACGGGUGAGUAACACGUGAGUAACCUGCCCUUGACUCUGGGAUAAGCGUUGGAAACGACGUCUAAUACCGGAUACGACCUCCGAAGGCAUCUUCUGGAGGUGGAAAGAAUUUCGGUCAAGGAUGGACUCGCGGCCUAUUAGUUAGUUGGCGGGGUAAUGGCCCACCAAGACUGUGAUCGGUA
rnacentral:rRNA from 1 species